GGGGGCAUAGCUCAGCUGGGAGAGCACCUGCUUUGCAAGCAGGGGGUCUCGGUUCGAUCCCGUCUGCCUCCACCA
rnacentral:tRNA from 1 species